rnacentral:ncRNA from 1 species
UAAAAGUUUUAUUUUAACUUAAAAAUUUAUUUAUUUUUUAUUUUACAUGUAAAUUUUUGUGAGAUUUUAAUAUAAUUUUAAUAAUUUUAUUAAUAAAUUUAGUCGCAGUAUUUAAUUUUAAAAAUUUAAGAAAUUAAGAUUUAGUAAUAAAAUUAAAAAUUGACAAAAUUUGUGCCAGCAGUCGCGGUUACACAAAUAAUUUAUAUAAAUUUUAUUAGUAUUAAUUAAUUUGAUGAAAUCAAAUUUAAUAAUAUUUUUAUAAGGUGAAAUUUUUAAAGAUUAAAUAAAUUUGUAUUUAAAUAAUGAAGUUGAAAAAUUUUAUUAAAAAACUAGGAUUAGAUACCCUAUUAUUUUAAAUGUAAAUUAUAAACUAAGGUAGUAAUAGUUAUGUUCUUGAAACUUAAAAAAUUUGGCGGUAUUUUAGUCUUUUCAGAGGAAUCUGUCCUAUAAUUGAUAAUCCACGAUUUAUUUUACUUAAUUUAAUUAAUUUAUAUACCGUCGUUAAAAGAAAAUUUUUUUAGAAUUUUAAAUUUUCUUAAAUUUAUAUAAAAAUUUAAAUCAGAUCAAGGUAUAGUUUAUAAUUAAGAAGAGAUGGAUUACAAUAAAAUUAUUUAUAUGGAAUAAUUUAUGAAAUAAAAUUAUGAAGGUGGAUUUGAUAGUAAUAAAUUUUAAAUUUUAUUUAUGAUUUUAGCUCUAAAAUAUGUACAUAUCGCCCGUCACUUUCAUUAUAAAAUGAAAUAAGUCGUAACAAAGUAGAUGUACUGGAAAGUGUAUCUGGAAAGAC